UAUAGCAUGAGCCGGUGCUUGACUUGCAAUUGUGCUUCAAAGCACAUGCAGUCUUGCUGAGAAAAUACGGCCUGAACUUGAACUGGGCUCAAUGCCAGCGGAAGAAUCAUGCUAUCCCCAUCU
rnacentral:ncRNA from 1 species